rnacentral:rRNA from 1 species
UUACCAGUUUGACAUNANGAAACCUAGCAUAACAGGUGUUGCAUGGCUGUCGUCAGCUCGUGUCGUGAGAUGUUGGGUUAAGUCCCGCAACGAGCGCAACCCCACCUAUGUUGCCAGCUACGGGACUCUUAGGAACUGCCCGUGCAACGGGAGGAAGGUGGGGAUGACGUCAAGUCGGCAUGGCCCUUACACUGGGCUUCACACAUGCUACAAUGGGUAACAAGGGGCACCGCGAGGCAAGCAAUCCCAAAACUCCUCAGUUCGGAUUGCAGGCUGCAACUCGCCUGCAUGAAGCUGGAAUCGCUAGUAACCGCAGUCAGCAUAUGCGGUGAAUACGUUCCCGGGGUUUGUACACACCGCCCGUCAAGUCACCUGAAUUGUUGACCGAA